CUCCCGGAUGUUAGCGGCGGACGGGUGAGUAACACGUGGGUAACCUGCCUGUAAGACUGGGAUAACUCCGGGAAACCGGAGCUAAUACCGGAUAGUUCCUUGAACCGCAUGGUUCAAGGAUGAAAGACGGUUUCGGCUGUCACUUACAGAUGGACCCGCGGCGCAUUAGCUAGUUGGUGAGGUAACGGCUCACCAAGGCGACGAUGCGUAGCCGACCUGAGAGGGUGAUCGGCCACACUGGGACUGAGACACGGCCCAGACUCCUACGGGAGGCAGCAGUAGGGAAUCUUCCGCAAUGGACGAAAGUCUGACGGAGCAACGCCGCGUGAGUGAUGAAGGUUUUCGGAUCGUAAAGCUCUGUUGUUAGGGAAGAACAAGUGCAAGAGUAACUGCUUGCACCUUGACGGUACCUAACCAGAAAGCCACGGCUAACUACGUGCCAGCAGCCGCGGUAAUACGUAGGUGGCAAGCGUUGUCCGGAAUUAUUGGGCGUAAAGGGCUCGCAGGCGGUUUCUUAAGUCUGAUGUGAAAGCCCCCGGCUCAACCGGGGA
rnacentral:rRNA from 1 species